rnacentral:rRNA from 1 species
UACGGAGGGGGCUAGCGUUGUUCGGAAUUACUGGGCGUAAAGCGCACGUAGGCGGCUUUGUAAGUUAGAGGUGAAAGCCCGGGGCUCAACUCUGGAACUGCCUUUAAGACUGCAUCGCUUGAAUUGUGGAGAGGUAAGUGGAAUUCCGAGUGUAGAGGUGAAAUUCGUAGAUAUUCGGAAGAACACCAGUGGCGAAGGCGACUUACUGGACACAUAUUGACGCUGAGGUGCGAAAGCGUGGGGAGCAAACAGG